UUCCCGGGCCUUGUACACACGCCGUCACACACGAAAGUUGGCAAUACCCGAAGCCGGUGGCUAACCGCAAGGGAGGGAGCCGUCGAAGGUAGGGUUGAUGAUUGGGGUG
rnacentral:rRNA from 1 species